rnacentral:rRNA from 1 species
UACGUAGGGGGCAAGCGUUGUCCGGAUUUAUUGGGCGUAAAGAGCGUGUAGGCGGCUUGGUAGGUCCGCUGUGAAAACUCGAGGCUCAACCUCGAGAUGUCGGCGGAAACCACUUGGCUAGAGUCCGGAAGAGGAGAGUGGAAUUCCCGGUGUAUCGGUGAAAUGCGCAGAUAUCGGGAAGAACACCUAUGGCGAAGGCAGCUCUCUGGGACGGUACUGACGCUGAGACGCGAAAGCGUGGGGAGCGAACAGG